AUAUCAAUAAGCGGAGGAAAAGAAACCAACAGGGAUUGCCCUAGUAACGGCGAGUGAAGCGGCAACAGCUCAAAUUUGAAAUCUGGCCCCCUCGGGGUCCGAGUUGUAAUUUGUAGAGGGUGCUUUGGCGUCGGCCAUGGUCUAAGUUCCUUGGAACAGGACGUCACAGAGGGUGAGAAUCCCGUACGUGGCCGUUGGCCUUCGCCAUGUAAAGCCCCUUCGACGAGUCGAGUUGUUUGGGAAUGCAGCUCUAAAUGGGAGGUAAAUUUCUUCUAAAGCUAAAUAUUGGCCAGAGACCGAUAGCGCACAAGUAGAGUGAUCGAAAGAUGAAAAGCACUUUGGAAAGAGAGUCAAAAAGCACGUGAAAUUGUUGAAAGGGAAGCGCUUGCAGCCAGACUUGCCCGUAGUUGCUCAUCCAGGCCUCGGCCUGGUGCACUCUUCUGCGGGCAGGCCAGCAUCAGUCCAGGCGGUCGGAUAAAGGUCCCGGGAAUGUGGCUCUCUUCGGGGAGUGUUAUAGCCCGGGGCGCAAUGCGGCCAGCUCUGGACUGAGGUCCGCGCAUCUGCUAGGAUGCUGGCGUAAUGGCUGUAAGCGGCCCGUCUUGAAACACGGACCAAGGAGUCUAACAUCUAUGCGAGUGUUUGGGUGUCAAGCCCGAGCGCGUAAUGAAAGUGAACGGAGGUGGGAACCCGCAAGGGCGCACCAUCGACCGAUCCUGAUGUCUUCGGAUGGAUUUGAGUAAGAGCAUAGCUGUUGGGACCCGAAAGAUGGUGAACUAUGCCUGAAUA
rnacentral:rRNA from 1 species